UAAUCAAAUAAGAAAGAUAAUGUAGGGGUAACUAUUAGAAGAUGCCAGAGUUGAGCUCGAGAAGCCUACGCCAGAGUUGAGCUCAUGAAGCCCACGCCUGAGUUGAGCUCGUGUAAUCCACGAUCAGAGAUGAGCUCGUGAAGCCCACACCCCCGUUGAGCUUGUGAAGUCCACGAUCAGAGUUAAGCUCGUGGAGUGGCGCUAGAGUUGAGCUCGUGAAGAGACGCCAGAGUUGUCCUCGUGAAGCCCACGCCCGAGUUGAGCUUGUAAAGCCCACGAUCAGAGUUGAGCUCAGGGAAAUGGCAUUAGAGGCGAACCAAGGCAAAGAACGCCCUAGUUGAGCCAAAGUAGACAAAAGGCGAAAUUGAGCCGGGAGAGAAAAAGAGUUGAAGCGUGGGAACCAAGGCCAGAGUUGAGUCGUGGGGAGCAAACACCGAGUCGAGUCGUGGGGAACGAAGAUAAAGCUGAAUCAAGAGGAGGUUCAGUGUUGAUCUCCAUCAAUCUCUGGAUCAGACUUAUUGGCAUGAAGGAAGAAGACCAUGCCAGAGUUGGAGCUCGGAGAGUGUCUCAAGCCCGACAAAAGUUGCAGAAUUAGUUAUAGCGGGAUAAAAGACAGAUUACGAUGGGGAGGUUAGAAGGUACAUGCGGAGUACGUGAAAAAGAGAUUUUACACUUGUACCCCUUUGUAACCUACCAUUAUAAAUAGGAGAAUCAUCAUUUUUUGUAAAGAUUACGCUGAAAAAUAUCAAUACUACGCUCAGUUUCUAGAGAAGUUCCUUAAACUAUUUUCUCUGUGUUUGGAACUCAGGUAAAAACCC
rnacentral:lncRNA from 1 species